GCAACAUACACUGUGUGCUAAAAGUGUGCGUCGAUAAGCGUGUUUAUUUAAUACCAACCGCAGUGGAUUUUGUUUUUGUCAAGAUAGCGUGUGAUAGUGCGACGUGCCAAAAAUCUUAAAAAAAUUCAAAAAACAGCUAAAAAUAAUAGCUAAUAACUAAAAAAGCAAAAAAAAAA